rnacentral:rRNA from 1 species
AUUGAACGCUGGCGGCAUGCUUUACACAUGCAAGUCGAACGGUAACAGGGAGCUUGCUCCGCUGACGAGUGGCGAACGGGUGAGUAAUGCAUCGGAACGUACCGUGUAAUGGGGGGAUAACGUAGCGAAAGUUACGCUAAUACCGCAUACGCCCUGAGGGGGAAAGUGGGGGACCGCAAGGCCUCACGUUAUACGAGCGGCCGAUGUCGGAUUAGCUAGUUGGUGGGGUAAAGGCCUACCAAGGCGACGAUCCGUAGCGGGUCUGAGAGGAUGAUCCGCCACACUGGGACUGAGACACGGCCCAGACUCCUACGGGAGGCAGCAGUGGGGGAUAUUGGACAAUGGGCGAAAGCCUGAUCCAGCAAUGCCGCGUGAGUGAUGAAGGCCCUAGGGUUGUAAAGCUCUUUUACCCCGGGAUGAUAAUGACAGUACCGGGAGAAUAAGCUCCGGCUAACUCCGUGCCAGCAGCCGCGGUAAU